GAUUAUUCUAAUACUCUCAACAGGUGGUCAUGAUUUCCGCUUGUCACGCGGGAGACCUGGGUUCGAUUCCCAGAUGGAGAGCA
rnacentral:tRNA from 1 species